AAGGGAAGUAAUUCAUGAUUCAAAAUGGCGGACAUGGGUGUCAUUUCAAUUUCCUUUUUUGAAAAUACCGAUGUUUUUGUGGUUGAUGGGCCUAUAUAGGUUGCUAUACUUGAAUUUUUAAACAGUAAUUUUAGGCUUUCGGUCAUUUUUGUGUCGAUUUUUAAGAAGCCCUGUGAAAUUCCGAUUAUUUUUCGAGAACAAUUAUUGUGAAAAUCGUGAUUAGUGACAGGCUUGAAUUCAGUGAUCAAACAUCAACUUGACUGAAAAUAAUUUAAUUGCUAGAAGUGUAUCAAAGAUUAUAUAAAUAAUGUAGGUGGCACCAGAGGUGUAGUUAUUAUGAAGGAGUUGAUUAAUUUUUUCACAACAUGCUAGACAAGUAAAUGAUUCAUAGUUUCCUUGAGAAACAAAACUUGAGGACAGUAAGGAAACAAAAUGAAAAAAAAGAGAAAAAAGAAAAUUUGCAAAGCCUGUAUUUAUUAAGUAGAAAUUUUUAAGCAAUAUCGGGCCAUCAUGGCCUCUUGUUCUUAUAUUUUUGCACUGAAUCUAGAAAAAUUGACGGGAACGUACAACCCGAUAUGUCGUACAGAGGUCCUUGAAAAUAGCAACAAGGUCCUGGAAAAGUCCUUAAGUUUCAUAGAUAAAAAAAAAAGUGUGGGAACCUUGAAAGGAACCAGCGUGGGAACCAUCUGGUCUAGUUGCAUAAUGGCUGCCAGCACAGCUGCACAGUAACAGUUCAGAGGGCGAUUGUGGGUGUAAGCACAGAUGUGAGACAGAUACAUUGUUGAAGAUCGCUGAUAUCAUUAUAUCACUCACAGCUGCACAGUAACAGUUCAGAGGGCGUUUGUGGGUGUACGCACAGAUGUGAGACAGAUACAUUGUUGAAGGUCACUGAUAUCAUCACAUCACUUGAAACCUGUGAAGUUUUAGUGAAGCAGAAUAGUUACAGAUAUGCAGGUCUUUGUUCAGCAUGGUGUAUAUGGAAAACACAGUGGAUGGCCAGCAUAGAAAACAUUUAAUGACCUUUCAUAAUAAACAGCUUCCCUGAGAAAAGAGAAAAAAGUACAAGUGAAUUAAAGCACAUUGAGGACAGUACAUGAGAUAACAAAGCACAUUGAAGUACAUGAGAUGACAACGAUAUUUUCAUUCACACCCGAGUCCAUGGAGGCAGUAAACAGUUUCUAGCCCUGCAGUCGAAUUGGCCAGGGUCAAACUCAGAAAUAUAAGGUGUGCUUCAUUACAGUUACAGAUCAGUUUGGUUAUUCGGGGCACCACGACUUGUUUUGGGACUGCGAAAAAACUGUUUAUUGCCACCUUAAGAUUGAGGUCUUAGCCUGUACGGAAGUGUAUUUACAGUUGUAGUAUCCGGGUUUGCAUUUUCGGAAACAUAAAGAACAUCCCUUGCUUCAGUAGUGUUCAAUCGCUGCAGUUGAAGGUCUGGAGUGUCAGUCAUUUCAACAUUCAUAAUAGGUGUGCUUCAUUACAGUUACAGACCGGUUUGGUUAUUCGGGGCGCCACGACUUGUUUUGGGACUGCGAAAAAACUGUUUAUUGCCACCUUAAGAUUGAGGUCUUAGCCUGUACGGAAGUGUAUUUACAGUUGUAGUAUCCGGGUUUGCAUUUUCGGAAACAUAAAGAACAUCCCUUGCUUCAGUAGUGUUCAAUCGCUGCAGUUGAAGGUCUGGAGUGUCAGUCAUUUCAACAUUCAUAAUAGGUGUGCUUCAUUACAGUUGCAGACCGGUUUGGUUAUUCUUGGCACCACGACUUGUUUUGGGACUGCGAAAAAAAUGUUUAUUGCCACCCAUUGCUUUUUAGCGAAAACGAACUACACACAAUUGUCAUGAUGUUGUAUGCAAUUUUUCCAUAAUUCCUUAAAAAAAGCUGACAAUCAGCGUAUUUUUUAUGAUAAGUAACAUCAAAAUACAAGGAACUAACUCUGGUUAACCCUAUUGCAUCAAGUAAACAAAGUUAAAAACACUUUCAGAUGACAUUCCAAAAGUGUACCAGUAUCCGGAUAGCUCAUUUUGGAUAUAUUUUUGUACAGAGUUUUAUAGCACUAUUCUGUUAAUGAAAUAUUGACAAAAGACCUAAUCAAUGUAAAAUGAAUUUUGUUAAAUAUUAGUUUACAAUGUGACCUGAAA
rnacentral:misc_RNA from 1 species